ensembl:rRNA 5S_rRNA 5S ribosomal RNA
GUCCUCAGCCAUAUCACCCUAAAUGCACCCAAUCUUGUGUGAUUUUGGAAGCUAAGUAGGGUUGGGCUUAAUUAGAAUUUGGAUGGGAGAACUCAAUGUCAGAGUAAUUAAUAACCACUGAUAAUA